CGAAAUGCCCUUUUCUGCCUCCGCCGCCGGUCCGGGGAUGGGAACGGGCUUCGGUCCCCUCUCCCGUUCCGAGGUUUCUUUGGGGCUCUUUCGCUUUCUUUCUUUCUUAUAUAUAUAUAUAUAUAUAUAUUUAACUUUAGGGGGGAGGUUGUUUAUAAAUCUGCGCUUCACAAACGGCUGAAUACCGAGAGCCCCGUGCUCGGCUCGCUCGGAUGCCGCACACACAUUCACCGGGCUGGGGAAGGGGGGGGGGGGAACGGGACGGGAAGGAGAACGGGAAGGAAUAGUCCUUACCGCCCCCCCGCUUUCCUCCCAACCCUCCAGAAAAAAAAAAAUAAAAGCCCUUUUCGAGCAUCUUCCCAUCGGGAGGGCUGUCGCUCGCUCGAGGUUUCUGGCCAGCAGCUCCAAGGACUGUCACAGCCAUGUUGUGCGUUUGGGAACGUCAUGCAAUGGGGCUUUAACUGUGAAUGGAGGACAUCCUGGCCCCACUAUGGGUGGGAUAAGAACAACUCUCACCUCAAGGGUUUCUCAAAACCACCCGGAACUGUGCCAGGAAGUCCUACACCUGUGAUCCAGC
ensembl:lncRNA